CCUUCCUGAAAUUGUAGAGGACUGGAAAAAUUCUGAGUUGUCACAAGUCUGUCAUCUUGGUGAAUGUAUUUAAUCUAAAGGAAUGACAUUUAUUCUAAUACUUUAGGCACCCUCCUGUCCCUGAUGCUACUCUUUUUUUUUUUUUUACGAGAAAGAUGAUGUACUAAGAAUUGAACCCGGGUCCUUGAGUGUGCUGCCUGAUCACCGAGAUACACCUCCAACCCUCCAGUGUCUUUCUAAAAGGAGCUGAUAAUGACAGCAUGGUCCUGAGUUUGGGAUGAGGAAGGACAUAUCUAUGGCAACUGCUGACGACCGAGCAUCAGGUUGGCUCACAGCAUCCACCAGAAAACGCCUGGGGAAGUUGAGCUGGAGUUCCUGUUGGAGCUUUCUCCCUGUGGCCACUCCUCCCGAGACUGAACUUCCAGCUUCUCCUUCCCACUGUGAGCAUUUUAAGAUCAUGGGAUAAAUAGUGGUACCUCUGCUGGAAGUGUCUUACCUUCCGGCUGUUCUCAAGGAUAGUGUUUUUACUCUAGGGCUGUUUUGCUGUUCUCCCCCAUCGCAGAGUUCGGAGGCAACCCAUCCCCAGACUAAGGACCUAGAAGGACACCUUGAGACAAAUAUACUUGAUUAUGAAAUGUGGGAUAUGGGGGCAACCCCACUUCCAGAGCCAGCUUCUCAGUAAGCUCCAACAGCACGUGACGAUUUACCAACAGAAUGUGCCUUACUUUACAACAAUGUACCCCGUUCCUCCUCUCUUGGUCAGCGUCAGAGACAAAACCAUCACUUUACUUCUACAUUUUGGGGGAUGGGUCACUACUAUCUUAUGUAAUUAUGAGUAGG